GUGCUUGCUUGGGCAGCACAUAUGCUAAAAUUGGAACGAUACAGAGAAGAUUAGCAUGGCCGCUGCGCAAGGAUGACUUCCAAAUUUGUGAAGCGUUCCAUAUAAAA
rnacentral:snRNA from 1 species